UACGAAGGGGGCUAGCGUUGCUCGGAAUCACUGGGCGUAAAGCGCACGUAGGCGGAUCUUUAAGUCAGGGGUGAAAUCCCAAGGCUCAACCUUGGAACUGCCUUUGAUACUGGGGAUCUCGAGUCCGGAAGAGGUGAGCGGAACUGCGAGUGUAGAGGUGAAAUUCGUAGAUAUUCGCAAGAACACCAGUGGCGAAGGCGGACUCACUGGUCCGGUACUGACGCUGAGGUGCGAAAGCGUGGGGAGCAAACAGGG
rnacentral:rRNA from 1 species